UACGUAGGGGGCUAGCGUUGUCCGGAAUCAUUGGGCGUAAAGCGCGUGUAGGCGGCCCGGUAAGUCCGCUGUGAAAGUCGGGGGCUCAACCCUCGAAAGCCGGUGGAUACUGUCGGGCUCGAGUACGGAAGAGGCGGGUGGAAUUCCUGGUGUAGCGGUGAAAUGCGCAGAUAUCAGGAGGAACACCAGUGGCGAAGGCGGCCGCCUGGCCUGUAACUGACGCUGAGGCGCGAAAGCGUGGGGAGCGAACAGG
rnacentral:rRNA from 1 species